GAGAAAACGUUCUGUCCGGAGCUGGCAGAAAAGGGGCUAUUUACGCCACCAAUCAGGAGCUGCCACGUCAUAUAUACAAUGAGACCUCAGUACACUCUAUCACACAGGAUUGAAGCUCAAAUAAAACCAAAAAUCAGCAAACAGAACAGAACGUGUUCAGAAGCCUUCUCCUCUGACCAACGCCUCCUCUCCUUUGCCCAAACAGAGCUGCCACCGCCUCCUCUCCUCUGACCAACGGAGCUCCUCCUCGCCGCUGGAGCCGCGGCGGCGUCGUUCUGAGCCGUCGCCCACGCACCCAAAUACUGCGAUGUCCUUAGCCUUCUGAAAGGUAUUAGCGGCUGACUUCCUCAAAUCUGAGUCCAAAACCUUUACUUUGGUCCUUCAUUUUUACUGUGGUUGUUGAAUUCUCCACCGUGAACCUAGGCCUUUGGGACACAACUGGUAUUAUUUAUUUGAUAGAUAUUAUCAUAUUCUUAGUUUCAAAUAUAAUUUUAUAUUACUUGUAAUUUCAAUUUUUUCCUACUUGUAAUGUCAAUUUGCUCUCUAUAUGUACCAGAGUACAAUUAAAGAUGUAGUUAGAUCUGUUUUAUGUAGUGUUUAUUGAGUUGUUGAGCAGGGUGUUCAAAUGUACCCUGCCUUUGUUGUGCUUACGUGGAAUUAAUUUGAAAUUCUAAAAAUUCAAAUUGCAACCAGUUUUGUAUUAAGUUGUUGGAUUUACUCUUUACUUGUAUCCUAAAACAAGUUUGUAAUUAAACAAGUUUGCCAAAUUGGGCAAGUUUGGUAUUGUAAUAGUACAAUAUUUGAAUUUAUUCUCAAUCGUUUCUUAUGAA